GGCUUUAUAGUCAAUAAUGAUAUUAGACUGCAAUUCUAAAGGAGUAAAAUAAUUACUAAGGCUU
rnacentral:tRNA from 3 species